UACGGGGGGGGCAAGCGUUGUUCGGAAUUACUGGGCGUAAAGGGCGCGUAGGCGGUUGGAUAAGUCAGCUGUGAAAACCACGGGCUUAACUCGUGGCCUGCAGUUGAGACUGUCUGGCUUGAGUGUGGGAGAGGAGAGUGGAAUUCCUGGUGUAGCGGUGAAAUGCGUAGAUAUCAGGAGGAACACCGGUGGCGAAAGGCGGCUCUCUGGACCACAACUGACGCUGAGGCGCGAAAGCUAGGGGAGCAAACAGG
rnacentral:rRNA from 1 species